UUGAAGGUAGGCUAUUGUAUUAAGCUUUUAGACUCAUGAUCUGAAUAAGAUUUUUAUCCCUUCUAC
rnacentral:tRNA from 1 species